rnacentral:rRNA from 1 species
UGCAGCCGCGGUAAUUCCAGCUCCAAUAGCGUAUAUUAAAGUUGUUGCAGUUAAAAAGCUCGUAGUUGAAUUUCGGGGUCAGUAGAUUGGUCGUGCCACUGGUAUGUACUGGUCUUACUGGCUCCUCCUUCCUGAUGAACCGUAAUGCCAUUAAUUUGGUGUUGCGGGGAGACUGGACUGUUACUUUGAAAAAAUUAGAGUGUUUAAAGCAGGCUAACGCUUGAAUACAUUAGCAUGGAAUAAUGAAAUAGGACGUUCGAUCCUAUUUUGUUGGUUUCUAGGAUUGACGUAAUGAUUAAUAGGGAUAGUUGGGGGCAUUAGUAUUCAAUUGUCAGAGGUGAAAUUCUUGGAUUUAU